UACGGGGGGGGCAAGCGUUGUCCGGAAUUAUUGGGCGUAAAGAGCUCGUAGGCGGUUUGUUGCGUCGGCUGUGAAAUCCCGAGGCUCAACCUCGGGUCUGCAGUCGAUACGAGCAAACUAGAGUGUUGCAGGGGAGACUGGAAUUCCUGGUGUAGCGGUGAAAUGCGCAGAUAUCAGGAGGAACACCGGUGGCGAAGGCGGGUCUCUGGGCAACAACUGACGCUGAGGAGCGAAAGCAUGGGGAGCGAACAGG
rnacentral:rRNA from 1 species